UUCCGGUUGAUCCUGCCGGACCUGACUGCUAUCGGAUUGAUACUAAGCCAUGCGAGUCUUUGCAGUAAUGCAAGGCAUACGGCUCAGUAACACGUAGUCAACUUACCCUAUGGACGAGGAUAAUCUCGGGAAACUGAGCAUAAUACUCGAUAGAUCAUAAUGCCUGGAAUGGUUUAUGGUUAAAAUGAUUCGUCGCCAUAGGAUGGGACUGCGGCCUAUCAGCUUGUUGGUGAGGUAAUGGCCCACCAAGGCGAUUACAGGUACGGGCUCUGAGAGGAGAAGCCCGGAGAUGGGUACUGAGACAAGGACCCAGGCCCUAUGGGGCGCAGCAGGCGAGAAAACUUUGCAAUGUGCGAAAGCACGACAAGGUUAAUCCGAGUGAUUUCUGCUAAAGAAAUCUUUUGCAAGUCAUAAAACCACUAGUGAAUAAGGGGUGGGCAAGUUCUGGUGUCAGCCGCCGCGGUAAAACCAGCACCUCAAGUGGUCAGGAGGAUUAUUGGGCCUAAAGCAUCCGUAGCCGGCUCUGUAAGUUUUCGGUUAAAUCCAUGUGCUCAACGCAUGGGCUGCCGAAAAUACUGCAUAGCUAGGGAGUGGGAGAGGUAGACGGUACUCAGUAGGAAGGGGUAAAAUCCUUUGAUCUAUUGAUGACCACCUGUGGCGAAGGCGGUCUACCAGAACACGUUCGACGGUGAGGGAUGAAAGCUGGGGGAGCAAACCGGAUUAGAUACCCGGGUAGUCCCAGCUGUAAACGAUGCAGACUCGAUGAUGCAUUGGCAUAUAGCCAGUGCAGUGUCGCAGGGAAGCCGUUAAGUCUGCCGCCUGGGAAGUACGUACGCAAGUAUGAAACUUAAAGGAAUUGGCGGGGGAGCACCACAAGGGGUGAAGCCUGCGGUUCAAUUGGAUUCAACGCCGGG
rnacentral:rRNA from 1 species